UACAGGGGGGGCAAGCGUUGUUCGGAAUUACUGGGCGUAAAGGGCUCGUAGGUGGCCAACUAAGUCAGACGUGAAAUCCCUCAGCUUAACUGGGGAACUGCGUCUGAUACUGGAUGGCUUGAGUUUGGGAGAGGGAUGCGGAAUUCCAGGUGUAGCGGUGAAAUGCGUAGAUAUCUGGAGGAACACCGGUGGCGAAGGCGGCAUCCUGGACCGGUAUUGACGCUGAGGCGCGAAAGCCAGGGGAGCAAACGGG
rnacentral:rRNA from 1 species